UAAUAUAUUUGUCUGUAUAAUAUUUUGUGAAUUGGUUUAGGACACAGUGGUGUCUUUUUUUAAGCAAGUAUCCAUUGAGAGGGGUCAGAGGAUUAGCUCAAGCUCCAACAUAUCUAGCUGCUACCUUGCUUAACAUAGCUGCUACCUCAAUCGCUUUAUUUUUUUGUGUUUUUUUCCCCCUGUGGCAUUUAUUCUGUGCACAUGAACACGUUUUCAGAAUUGCUAUGUGUAACUCAGACGGUUACUCUUGUGUGUUUUGCUGCUAGUUGUGCGAACGAGCCAGACAAACCAGCUGGGAGGAGGACGGAAGCACCCCUUCUCCAUCCGCGUUCAGUUGCUAAAUACGGAUCCACCCCGUAGUAAGUAACCUACCAUGUUUACGCACACAUUACUUUGACCAGCAAAGCCCAUGUCUUUCUAGUGGUUUACAAAAAUAUAUCGUUUGCAUGUUUUGCUUUGGUACGUCUCUGUUGUAUGACUCUGGUAAUAGUAGCAAGCACAAGCACAACCUGUUUGCCGCUCCAGCAUUGCAAAAUAUAUUGCCUUGGGUUUUCAAAUGUUUACAUGAUUGUGGGUGUAAUGUUGUUAACUCGCUGAUGUCGUUUUUGAGAAGACGGUAGUUUUGCAUUUGAUAAAUACCACCUAAUGACCAUGACGGCUACACGGCAGAUCUUUAUUGUGAUGGCUACACUGAAUGAUCACAUGGAGAUGCCGGUACAUUAUUUGUUUUACCCUGGUUAUAUUGAAAUGUUCUGCUUUGUCCAUUCCAAGGUGUGGUGUUUUCCAUAGCUGCUCCUUGCUCCUGUUUCACAACAUAUCAAGGCUGCCAAGUAAAUGAAGAAUGAAUCACCGCACACUGGUCAACAGCCGACAGGGUCCUUCCACAACCACAUACUUAUGCCAGUAAAAGCCACAGCUUUUCUCCUCCAAUCCAAGAAGCCUGGACUGCAGUCACCAUCUCAACACACCAACCAAGAGAAAGGCGGAUGGCUCAAUUCAAUAUGGAAAAUUGCACAAUAAAAGUUCCAGGACAUGAAGGCUGCAUACUGUGAACGUCAACCUUCAGGGCACCGUCCUGCGCAGAAGACUUUCUACCCUAAGAGGGAUGGCUGACCGCAGACACUCACAACCAGCACAGACGCCUCCAACCUCAAACCAGGCCCUUCACAGUUGCUGCACUUACCCACCUUCCCAGAGUUUUUGUGUGGUAAUGACAACUGUAAAUAUAGUAUAAAGUAAUGUAUCUAGUGUCAUGUGUAAUACAUUGUUUAAAUUGUCCAUACAUUUCAAUGACAGUAAAUAUUGGUGGACACAA